rnacentral:lncRNA from 1 species
CCAUAAAGCGAUUUUUUUUUUUUUUUCCGCAAAAGUGACUUCUGCCCCUCCAAUCCUCUUCGCUCUUUACGAUCCCUCCCUGCCUGCCGCUGCAUUCAAGUUUAUUUAUUUGCCUGCUGGCGUGAAGUUGAUGCUCCCGGGACUGGACCCUGCUUUAUCACAGAGGCGCUCCGGGAAGCUGAAGCAGAUUUCCGCACCUCGCCGCACCGCUCCGUCCCUCCCCCGGGCUGGGGAGGCCAACCAGGACCGGCAUCACCAGAGGAGUUUGCAGGCUUGAUUUUCCACUUCUCCGAGGUUUUGCUUUUCUCCACGCCCUCCCAUAAAAUAAUUUUUAUUUCCAUCUCCUUGGUUUCCACGCCGCAAUAUUUCUUGGAUUGGCCGUUCUUUUUUUUUUUUUUUUUUUUUUUCCCCCCCUUUUUUUUUUUUUUUUUUUUUUUUGCCUUUGCUGUUGCUCAGUCCUUGGUGCAUCCAACGCCCAGGAACAGGAAGGACGAGAAAACCACUCCACAAAGUCUCCUUCAAGACACUCUGCGCUGCAGAACAGGCUCCCCAACUCCCAUCAGCGCAGCAAACAAACUCCUCAGGGCUUUUGCUGCCCCUCCACCACCACCACCGCCACCACCACACACCCUUUUAUUUUAUUUUAUUUUAUUUUAUUUUAUAUUUUAUUUUAUUUUAUUUUUUUUAAUUUCCUCUUUGCUUUUGCAUUCGCGGAGGGCCGGGAAGGAAGACACAAACUUACCGCUCCGAGCUCCUCCGGCCCCCCUCGCCCCUCUCCCAGCCGGCGGUCUUUAAUCCGCCGCCGGGACCCCUCGCGGGCUCCCCCAGCGAGCGGAGCCCCGCGCCCCCCUCUCCCCGUCCCCUCGCUCCGCGGCCGCCCCCGAGCCGCGGGGCCACUCGCAGGGGGCGGUGGGGCGCGGCGCCGGGGGCCCGGUGUAUGUCGUGCCCCGGCCUCCCGGUGAAUGAGCACCGCCCGCCGCCUGCCGCCGCCGCCCGCCUCGGCCCCCACCUCCCCCUGCCGGGGUGAGGCUGCCUGAGGGUCCCCGCGGGUCGCGCAUCCCCGCCGGCUGCCGAGAGGAGCCCAUCGCUUCUCCCUCCUCCCUCUCUCCCGCCAGCCUCCCCCUCUCUGCCCCCUUCAUUUUAUUUUUAUUGCCACAUUUCCCCCUUUUUUUUUUUUUCCUUUUACCAUCCUCCCCACGCUCCCGUGCCUUCCACCCCCCUUCCCCUAAU